CCCUCCCACCCACACCGUCACCACCUGUCGGCGCCACCACCCCUCCCUCCUGCUCCCCUCCUUCUCCACCAGUGGUAGGAAACGCUGGUCCAAGCACUUUCUUCAGCUCUAAAGUGGGCUUCAUAGGCAAACCUUUGCUCUCGCAGCCUGUCCGCUUCUGGGAGCUUUGAGCAUCUGAGCACCACGUCGCCCUCCUCCUCCAAUCAGCAGCACUGUGGGCUGAUCUUUGACCCUAGCCAGGGCGGCGGCCACCACUCCACCUCCACCCCAUCACCUCCUCUAUCACUAGGAUUCCUAAGGCUGCUGGAGGAGCAGGGCAUCUCCGGCUCCACCGUCCCCUACCCAUACCACCAACUGACCCCAUUCACAGCCCACACACGCCCCACAACGGCAGAGGAAGAUCAGGAUGGAGGUACAUUCAAGAUGAAGGGAGAAGGAACAUUUUCAGCUUCAACCUGGUAGGCAAGCUGAGGAGUCUGGGACUUCACAAGGUGGCGGCCCGAGGGGUGGUGGACUGGAGAGAGAACGAAGAGGAGAGAGAAGCAGUCAGGCAAUACAGACAAUUACCUAGAGUCUGAGAACGACUGGGAGAACUCCCUCCCCCCUCCUUCUCCCCUUCCUCCUCAAUCGUCAUUGACUUCAAUCCACAUGCUGGCUAUGCCACUGUACCGCCAUUUUGUGUUUCGGGCCCACAGCAAUACAUUGUAAAAUGGAGCCUCGGGAGAACCAUAGCGACAUAUUUUGAGUUUCUGUGUCACGGAUUCUGCCGAGGCUGCUCCUCCUCCUUGCUCGGGCAGGCUUCGGCGUUCGUCGUCCCCGGAGUACUAGCUACUGCCGAUCGAUGUUUGUCUUGUUUUGUCUAGAUUAGUACACCUGUUGCCUAUUAGUGUUGAUUGUUUAGCAUAUAAUUUCCCUUGUUUCACGUUUGGGUUUUGUGUGUUAUUGUCUUGUUGAUGUUCGGCCUAGCUACUUCUUCGGAUUGCACAUAUGGUGUUUUUUCCCUCCAGUGUUGGAGACGUUUGUUUUGUGCGUAACGCUCAGUAAAGUAGUCAACCCGAUUCUCUGUGUCCUGCGUCUGACUUCACUCGCCGCGUACACAUCACCUCUUGACAUUCUGCUACGUUUACAGUCACUCUUCUUUUUGUAAUGGACUCCUGUAUUGUAGAUACUAGGUCUCCACGACAAUGUGUGACAUCAUGAUCAUUCUCAGGAGAAUCACCUGAUCACCGCUCCGGCUGGCUUGAACACGCGGAAGGGUUUUUGUUUUUUUAUAAAAUAAAAAGUUGAGAAACAUGCGUUGCUUUUUUCUACCUGUGUUUCGUGGGUGUCGAUGGUUUUACACGGUAUGAAAGUAAGGGAAUGGUGCUUCUCGUGGUGUUUUUUGUUGUU